AAUAGCUCAGUCACUGGGCGGUGUCCGGUGAUGUUGGGCUAUUGCCUCUCCAUUGGGCAGAGCUUAAUUUACUUUCGUUUUUCGAACAAUAUAAAAGCGCGACUGAUUUUCGCUUUGACCACAAGUAUGCGUCCGGGCUGGUUUCAAUAACCCUUUGCCAAUAGUUCGAAUUUUUUUGCAGGCUGUCGCGUCCUCGAGCAGAGAUCAUGUCGGGAAUCGCAGAAAUGAUUGAAACGUUCGACAGACCAGGAAGUGCCACAGCCGAAGGUCCAUAUGCAGGAGCCCAUGUAGAAGGCUUCACCGACGACCCGAAGAGGCGUAUACCGAAAGCCGAAGCCAACGUCAGUGCGGGAGUGGGGCGCGCGAAGGCCGGGGUCAGCGGGUUCCAGGUCGAAGCGAACGGGCCGAACGCGUCGGCGGGGGCCCAGGCGUCUCUGACUAACGGGGUGAGCGCGAUGGCCGGCGCCGAAUUGGCCAGCGUUUCGGCGGCCGCUGGCCCGGUGAAGGUAAAGGCGGGCCUAGGGGUCGACACCGGAGUGAGCGUAGGUCCGGAUGGCGCGGAAUUGCAGUUGCUAGGCACCGGCAUAAGAUUCGGUCCAAAUCCAAAAAUAUCCUUGUUUGGAUCUUCGGCGGAAUGCUCAGUUAUGUGAGUGUUUAUAAGAACAACAGAGAGAUGCGAAUCUUCAUGACAUCACGUUGGUUACGGUCCUUCUUGAUAUUUAAUUUCUGUGCCUUCUCAAUGUCGUGUCAUUUCAGUUUUUGCCCCUGUCCACGUUUAUUUCACUUUAGAGUAAGAGUGAAUAUUCAUAAACAUUUCAGCAUAAUGAAAGAAUACCAAAGUAAUGUUUUUGUGAACUCCAUUUGACCUCAUGCUCGUCUGUUACCGAAGUAUUUUUUCAACUUUAUUUCAAAUUAUUUUUUUGAAUUUAAAAUAAAGAAACACAUUCCAGAUUUUG